rnacentral:rRNA from 1 species
UACGUAGGCGGCCAUAUAAGUCAGAAGUGAAAGGCUACGGCUUAACCGUAGUAAGCUUUUGAAACUGUAUGGCUUGAGUGCAGGAGAGGAAAGCGGAAUUCCUAGUGUAGCGGUGAAAUGCGUAGAUAUUAGGAAGAACACCAGUAGCGAAGGCGGCUUUCUGGACUGAAACUGACGCUGAGGUACGAAAGCGUGGGGAGCGAACAGGAUUAGAUACCCUGUAGUC